rnacentral:rRNA from 1 species
CUUGGCGACCAUAGCGUUGCGGACCCACCUGAUCCCAUGCCGAACUCAGAAGUGAAACGCAGUAGCGCCGAUGGUAGUGUGGGGUUUCCCCAUGUGAGAGUAGGACAUCGCCAGGC